UUCAAGCCAGGGAUGGCUUCAAUCCUGGAGGCCGCGCUGUCAGUUCCGGUCGGAGUCUGUGGCCUGGAGUGAGCACUAAUGGUUCUUUUUCCAGGCCCGCCCAUGGCCACCCAUGGACCAAUCAGCAUGCACUUCCUCCCUUCUGAACCCAUAAAAACCCCGCUCCCCGGACGCAGCCGGAGUCACGCGAAGUCGGAAGUACCAGCUGCGGGAAGGAGCUGCCCACUGUGCGUCUUCUCAACUUGUUGGGACAACCUUCCUGCGGAAAGGAGAGACAACCUUCCUGCAGAAAGGAGCUACCUGCUUCAGGUCUACUGAGAGCUGUUCUGCCACUCAAUAAAGCUCUUCUCCAUCUUGCUAAGCCUCCAUUUGUCCGCAAUACCUCAUCUCCCUGGACGCAGGACAAGAACUCAGGACCCGCCUGGAGGUGCCCACAGCAGAAUCCACAUGCCGUCCAUCUGGUCCAGCCUCACGCAGAGCCACAACUGUGCUGGCGCCUGGAGCUGCCAGCCCCACUGCAGCAGCCGGACUGACAUUCAGACGUGGAGCAAGUUGGACUGCAUAGGGACCCACCAGUGAGAUGGACGCUGUCUGUAAACGACUUUCACUGAAUGUGCUAAGAAGAGAAACCCCUCUGCAGACACACACAGACGUUCUGCAGUUUCCCAAUCUCUGGUGCAGUUCUGGCCUUUUGGGGCUUUAAGGGCUUUGGCUAAGGUAAGAAGAAUCUGUCAUUUCUUCCCAAGGCUCAGAAUGGGCAAUUAUAAUUGUUCUUGACAAGUUUAAACAGGCCAAAGGAGCUUUUCUCAGAUUUGGGGAAUUCCUAAAUGAUUUUUUAAUACAAAUCUUUUUUUUUUAAUGAUAGAACAUUAUACUCACAGUUCUUGUUUUUUAGGGCUCUGUUUGCAUUGGGUAUUUUUCCUAUUUUGAAUAUCCAAAGCUGGAAAGUUUGAGGUUUGUUUUCUGCCAGGGCACUCUGAGUAGAACUUGAAAGUUUGGCUUGAGAGACCUAACAUAGCUUUGAUAGUGUUCACCCAGUUAUUCUAUAAACGAAUAUUUCAAAAAGAGGAUUUCGAGAUCCCUCAAAUGUCGAGUCACCAGAUAAAAUACAUGAUGCCCAGUACGAUUUGAAUUACAGAUAAACAACAAAUAAUUUUUAGUAUUAAUGUAAGUAUGACUCAUGUCAAUUGGGAUAUACUUAUGCUAGAAAAUUGUUGUUUAUCUAUAUUUUUUAUUUGCUAAAUUCUGCAAACUUAUCCAAGUGUUUAUAAUUAACUACGCUGGUGAAAACACCAAAUAAUGAAUGUGUCCUAAUAUUUCCUGAGGACUAUAUUAAUAUAAUUUCAUGUAAUCUUUCUAACAAUACUAUGAUACACACAUAAUCAAUUCUAUGUAACAGAAAAGAGAAUUGAGCUUCAGGGAGUUUUAAAAUUUGGCCCAAAUCACACUAUUGGUGAGUGGCAGAUCUGUGAGUUAAAGACAGGUCAUCUGAUUGCAAAACCCACCUUCAUUCCAACUCGCCUAAGGUGUUUAAAAUGUGUUAGGAACACUGAGCAGCCCUUGCUUCCCCAUGAAGCAAGCAAAUACCUAGAAAGCUGACCUGAAGUGCCUGGGGCCCACAUUUCAGGUUCACAGUGUAAUUAUAGUGCUUGGCAUUCAGUGCAGACACACACAUCAUCAUUCUAAUUAAGCAACUGUCUUAAU
rnacentral:lncRNA from 1 species